UGGAGCCCACGGUGUAGAACACCAUCGGGAACCAGCAGAUGGCCUCCAGGAAGUCGGCUUCAGGUCUGAGCGGGGAGAAGAAAAGCCAAAGUCAGAUUCGUAUUGGAUUAAUGAUGAAGCGGUGACGUCCUCACACAGACAGAGACGCUCACUCAACCCAAGAAAUACGACCCGGCUGAACCUGCCUGCAGAGAAAGCUGAAAAUAACGACACUACUCUGGAGUGACUCAGCGUUUUAUGGACUUUUUUUUUAUUGGAUUCCUCUUUCAUUCGGCUGACUGCUUUGUGUACCGGCCACAAAACACGACACGGGAUUGUGCUGCACAUUGUCCGGUCUGUGACCUCCCUUCCACCGCCCCGGUCCAGAACAUCAGUGAAUAACAUGAAGCCUCAGACUUCCUCGUGUCAUCUACGAACUACAAGCUGCGAUUGUUCGGCUAUCGGCGGCUGGCUUCCGCAGUCUUGGGCAGAAGAUCAUAUCAGCCGGAUGUGACAUCAUCACCUGGCGCAUACCACAUGCCAACACAUUUGGUGGGAACUUGUGACAUCAUAUUGGGACGGAAAAAAAUACUUCAUGUUACUGACCACAAUUCUAGUUUGUAGUUAAUAUCCUUCAACUACCGCAGACAACCCAAAAAGCAUCGGAUUUAAAUGAUGAAUCACAGAAUAUAAAUGUAGUUUAACUAAGUUUUACUGCACGUAGUUUAAAAUACAGAAUGAUAUGCUGGAUUUGACAUGCCUGUUGUAAGACAUAGAAAACCAAAGAUUUUUCCCUUCACAAGUAUUGCCCAGUUACUGUUCCCUCUCUUGUUCGGGAAGAUCUAUCGGUUCAAUCAUGCAGCAUCUGGCUGAACUACGCAGCAACCAGAGGGUCGUUUUUGCUCGUGAUAUGCUUUUGUUGGCUUUUAUCAAACAACAAUUCCCAGUCGUCUCAGGGGCUCAACAAAACUUUAUAAACAGCUUGACACAGGAGCUCAACAAGAAAUUAGAAAUGUAAAACAUUUCCGACCGGAGCCAGGAGAGCGGAUUUGCAUUCCAAAAUUUGCAUGUUUCCAGAGACUUAAAGAAGAGAAACAGGCGCCGUCUGACAGACAAGGGGGGGUCUGUGGAGGAGGAUCCCCGAGUGAGAGCUGACCGAGAUUGUCCUGCUGCUUCCAGCCAUGUCUUCGCAAUGUAAUGACACAGAAGCGACCGUAAUGACAGUGGCUGUGACUUCAAUCUGUGAAAGUACGGCGCCGCAGUGGCACGGCGCUGCGUGAAAAGCUGCGUCUCAAGAAUCGAAAAAAAAAAAUGCUCUACUUAUAAAAUGUGAAGCGAACGCAGCGAAAUCAUGUUUUGAUCCAGAGAGACAAGUUGAUAUUACCUUUGGAUUUUUAGUGGCAUUUGAUAUGCAAAGCUUUGAUUUACAACAGGAAACAAAAGAGCUCUUUUGCGAGGCAUGAAGUGCAUUAGUUGUUUUUGAUGUUUAUAUCAAGGUUACAAGUCUUUGUCGGCUGCCAGGAUACUGUGAUUUGUUUGAUCCGGCUUUGAAUCUUCUGUCUUUGAAUUCUGACGACAAAUGUUAUUAGAACACAAACUACACAUUGUGAUAAAAGGAUCUGAAUUAUUUAGGAGUUAUUACCUUCCAUUUUGCUGCGCUUAUCCAAGAUUGUUGGUCUAAAGAGGCCCGAACUUCCUCCCAGUUCGACGUGCCAGGAACAGCUCAGCAGGGAGGCAUCCUGAGUGGAUGAGGCCACCUUAACCUGGCUUCCCUCUAAGCCUCUCUUGAGUUCCAUCACUCGUGAAUGAGACCUCAGGAUACUCAAACUCUGGUGGGAAAUGCUGGCCCUCAUGCAGUCACUGUCAAACUAAGCAUGUAAAAGUUUUUGUUGUGAUGUUACAUCUGUGGUGAUUUAAUUUCAUUACUACUAUGUUUAUUUAUUUUUUUUAAUGUUUAAAUUUCAUUUUUUUAAAUGUAUUUUCAGAAUGACUAAAAACUAUA